GCUGGGUCAGGAUUCUAAGAGAGUUGGGGGGAACUGACAACUGUCUCUCUCAAACUGGAAUUCAGACAGAGAGGCUGUGUGUCAAAAAGUCUCUCUGCAGCUGCCUGACUUGGAUUGAGUUGAGUGUACAGCAGUGGAAGUCAAAUUGGAGUGAGAAGAUACUUGGCCAGAGCCAAGCACGAGGUCACUGUCAAAGUACAGAUGAUUUGGAGUGGAGAAAAGAGGACAUAUACAAGAUGUUGUGAAGAUAGAGACAAAGGCAGAAAACAGAACAGAGAGGUGGGAAAUCGAGUCAUGGCAGGAUCCCCUUCAAAGUCAUUGAAGUGAUUAUUCACCCACAACAACACUACCCGUGUAACCUGGAAGGGGACUGCAUGUAAGUAUAGAUGAUGAAGAUGGUCCUGGGGAGAAAGAAUAGAUGGAGAUGCCAGAAAGAAUGCGGCAGUAAUCUUGCUGGGCUAUGCACACAAACUGGAAGGCAGAAAAUAUUAACAAGCAUUUAUCAAUUAGGAGUUUUCAAAGAGUUUAGAAAUUCAGAUGGUGAUUUUAGACCCUACAUCAGCAUUUUUCAACUUAAAUUAUGUUGGGAACUAGAACUACAAAUGAAACACAUAUUUUUGUUCCAUUUCACAUAAGAAAACUGAGGCUCAGAGAUGAGAUAUCAGAGAGGCUGCUGCUUCCAGAAUCACUGGUGAUGCUACAUCCUGAAUGACUGGAAGAAACGUGGGUCACCUGGGGGUGGAGACUGUCAGUGAGGUGGAGUUUUGUGAAAUCUGCCGGAAGCUAAAGGAGGAAAAAGAAAAAUGUUACAAUUUUAAUCAGAUUCUUCUAAACAUUAAUAAAAAUGUGAUUUCAUAUACUCUGAACUAUCACCCCUCCCAUUAAAAAAAAAACUUGUUGGAAA